UCAGACCAGCUGUCCUUCUGUUGUGUCCUGCUGUCUGACUCCAGCUAGCACUGAAUGCUUAUCAGCAGUGCGUCAUCCUUUCCCUGGCCUAUCUUCCCAGUUAUCAGUGGUUCACUCUUCACUGAAAUAGGUAGGAUCUGUGGAUGCACCUAAUAGCAGUAUUCAGCACUUUACAUGUUUAAGCCCAUUGAAACAUAGUAUUAAUUACAUUGGUGCAUCUAAUGGCGCUGUCAUUAUCCUCUGAUGGAUUUUUCCAGAUAACGAGGCAACCAGAUGUUCAUUUGGUACAUUUCCAAGAGAAAUAUGUUUCUGUGUAUAUCUUUCAUUUGAUAUUUAGUGAUGUUUGUAUAGCAGUGCACUUGUAAUUAAGAAUCUCCUACUUGCUUUUUGGAGGGGGGCAGAGGGGAAGGCAGGGAGUAAUGCAACAAUGAACUCUACUGUAUUUCCUAUUGAACUGUUUGAAACUCUAUCAGGCAGUGACUCAGACUAGGUCACUCUUCAGCUGCUCCCAGCUCUCACCCAAAUGUUGAAUCAGUUUUGUCUGCUUUUGAUUUAUGAAUGCUUCAUUAAAUAAGGAGUCUGCAGCAGCAGAAGGUAUCUGCUGCUGUUAGGGAAGCACAAGCCUUGGAAGCUGGUGGAUGUUGGCUGUGCUUAGAGCAAAGGUCAUCCUCUAAUGGAAAGAAAAACAAAAACAAAACACUCCCAUUCCACUACGAGGAGUUACUGAGCUUCCAAGAGGAGUGACUCCUGUAAAAUACUACCGUGCCUCUUGUGCUGUACAGAUUUUUAUGGUUCUUUACUCCUAUUUCCUCCCCCAGACAAAUUACACAGAAUACAGGGCCUGUGAUAUUCCCAGGUGAUAAAGAAAUGUGCUACCGGUCAGCUUCUGUCUUGGCUUCCCUCUGCAGGGCUGUGAUGCAGAAUCUUGUCUCAGUUGGCGGUGGCUCCUUUCAGUGCCUCUUCCUGCAGUGCCGGCUCGUGCUCUGCCCGCAGCGUGUUGCCCUUGUUGGGGAGAGGUUUGUAAAAGUAUUGCUGUGGUCAGAAAAUUGCCAUCGACGGAGGAAAUCUGGUCAGUGUUUCUCUGCUGCAUGUCUCCAGUGUUGUGCAACAUUCUUCUUGCUCUUGUUUGAAACCGUGGUGCCUGUGCUCCAGUUACAGAAACAAAACAAAAUGCUUAGGCAUGUUUUGGAGUGCACAUGCAGUGAAACUUGUUCUACAUAUAAUGAAAAGAGAAACCCCACAUUUUUUUUUGUUUCCACUCGCGUUGCAUAGAAAAGAUGGAUUUUCUGCUUUCCUAAUAACUGUAAAUUCUGAGAUAGUACUGUUGUGUGGUUCAAAUGGGCAGAAUAGCAGUUCACACUCCACGUUGUUCUCAUUAAAGGGUGCUGUUUUGCAAUCUCAGCCACAGUUGUUGCCAAUCGCAUGCAUUCCCAUCAUAUUUUCUUUGCUUUUUGUAACUCUUCUUCCAAAAUCUCAGUAAUUAGUAUGCAGAAUUUGUCUGUCCUUGAAGCUGAAGGGAUACUCGGGAGUAUUGUCAUCAAUUAUAGCUUUGGGGUUCUCUUCUGCAUCUUAAGGAUAAAAUCCCUAGCUAAAUUCUUAUGCUGAUGUUAAGUACCUGAAGUAAAGUAACUAACUAAAGGAAACAUGCAGAUUGUAAAGCACUUGUUGUCAGUUUUUGCCAGUAUCACUUUAGUAAACCUAGUGGCAACUUUUGGGCAUGAACAAGAAGUGAUACGACACGGGGGCCUGUGUCUGCCUACAUAAAUUUCACUUCUUUAAAUUAAAAAUCCAGUAAAUGAAAACUAUCCGGAUGCACUUGAAAUAAAUGAAAGGCUGACUCAAUGUCUGCUAUAGCC
ensembl:lncRNA